rnacentral:lncRNA from 1 species
CUCCUAAGCUAGACACCCCUUUACUAGUUUUUCACAAAAUAUGUGAACAAGGCCUUUGGCCUUGAGCUGGGGCUUCACAGAGAUGGCUACAUUUUUAAGAUAAAAAAGUUAUCAACUGGGCUCCAUGGUAACAGCUGGCAGGGAAAAAAAAAGUUCUCCCCCUCCCAGGUGUCCUUGAAAAGUUAACUUGCCCAGAACAGAGGAAAA